GGCAGGGGCCAUCUUUCCGCGGUCUUAGCACAGACCAGCAAGCUCUGGCUGACAAGACGGUUGUCACAGCCCAACUGGGGUGACAGCCUGCAGUCACGGGCUUCACACUGUGGUGGCAGCAACAGUGGUAGCCUUAGCAACGGCGGCCUCCUUUCCUCUGGAAUCUGGCUCCAGAUCACAGCUGGGGUGUGUGACCUUGAAGUUUGAUGUAACCACGUAUCCCCCUGGACUAUGAAGCUUGUUGUGGAAACAGCCUAUCAUUCUCAUCCCGGAUUUUAUAUAUGCCAGUUUGAUCCCAUCUGUGGUAGAUGGAGACCCAGCAUGGCACGAGCUGCCCCCAAACUAGCCCUCCUGUUACCAUGUAUUUCUGUGAGAGACAGCUCCAAAGUGAUGGGCGCCUUCUGCCUCCGGAAGCCGGGUCAGGCAGGUCUGGUUACUUCCGGGAUGAGUGGCCUGGAGGUGUUCAGCCCUGGCACAACUUUUACAAAGGUGCUGACACAGAAGAAUCAUAUCUUACAUUUUUUUGAGCGAUUACUCGGGGCGGGCAUCAUUCUCAACACUUUGCACCUAGAACGAAUUUCACCCUCACAGCAACUCCGUGGGUUUGGGGCUGGAAGUACCCCAUUUCACAGAUGAGGAAACUAACAAACUGCAAAAAAAAAUAUUUAGU